GACGAACGCUGGCGGCGUGCUUAACACAUGCAAGUCGAACGAAGAGCGAUGGACGCUUGCUUCUCUCAAUCUUAGUGGCGAACGGGUGAGUAACGCGUAAUCAACCUGCCCUUCAGAGGGGGACAACAGUUGGAAACGACUGCUAAUACCGCAUACGAUCUAAUCUCGGCAUCGAGGAUAGAUGAAAGGUGGCCUCUACAUGUAAGCUAUCACUGAAGGAGGGGAUUGCGUCUGAUUAGCUAGUUGGAGGGGUAACGGCCCACCAAGGCGAUGAUCAGUAGCCGGUCUGAGAGGAUGAACGGCCACAUUGGGACUGAGACACGGCCCAGACUCCUACGGGAGGCAGCAGUGGGGAAUCUUCCGCAAUGGACGAAAGUCUGACGGAGCAACGCCGCGUGAGUGAUGACGGCCUUCGGGUUGUAAAGCUCUGUUAAUCGGGACGAAAGGCCUUCUUGCGAAUAGUGAGAAGGAUUGACGGUACCGGAAUAGAAAGCCACGGCUAACUACGUG
rnacentral:rRNA from 1 species